rnacentral:rRNA from 1 species
AGCGAACGCUGGCGGCAGGCCUAAUACAUGCAAGUCGAACGGCUCUUCGGAGCAGUGGCGGACGGGUGAGUAACGCGUGGGAAUGUGCCCUUUGGUACGGAACAACACAGGGAAACUUGUGCUAAUACCGUAUGUGCCCUUCGGGGGAAAGAUUUAUCGCCAUAUGGAGCGGCCCGCGGUGGAUUAGUUAGUUGGUGAGGUAAAGGCCCACCAAGACUACGAUCCAUAUCUGGUCGAAGAGGAUGACCAGCCACACUGGGACCGAGACACGGCCCAGACGCCUAGGGGAGGCAGCGGUAGGGAAUCUUGCGCAAUGGGCGAAAGCCUGACGCAGCCAUGCCGCGUGUAUGAUGAAGGUCUUAGGAUUGUAAAAUACUUUCACCGGGGAAGAUAAUGACGGUACCCGGAGAAGAAGCCCCGGCUAACUUCGUGCCAGCCGCCGCGGUAACAC